UGGAUAAUGGGUUAAUAAAAAACCUUAUUGAUAUGGGUUAAUAAAAAAAACUUGAUUGCAUCAGUAGAUAACUACCCAAUAUAAUAUUUUUGGACCACUUCUUUUAUGUUUUGGACCCGACUCAUCCUAUUGGCUUGAUUCUCCCUGCACCCGAUCAUUUCAAAUUGGCACCCGAUUGUGGAUAGGAAAAGAUUAAAUUGUCCUUAAUGAAUUUGACAUUAAGUUAAGUGAGAGAUGUGCACUCAAUGCAAUGCACCCAACCCGCAGCCGAAGUGAGAGAUUUGCACCCAAGUCUUCCUCUACGUUUUCGCAGUGAACCCACACCGUCAACCACCUUCGUCCCGUUUGAUUUCGUCAACAAAGCAGUAGUCGUCACGGCCAAGGACUUCGAACUUUUCCUCUGAAGGAGCCUGAUACGGGACUCACAAGCACAAGGCCCAUUAGAAGGACAUCUAGGCCCAUUUGGUUAAAGGAUUAUAUCUAGAAGGAUCUCUUUUGUCUUUUGUAGGGAUUGGAUCCCCUUUUCUGUUAGAAUUUUCUGUUAUAGCUUUUCAGUAUUUUCAACACAGUUGUUUAUGAGGACAAAUAGUUUUUCAAAGGGUAUUAUAUACCCCACUACACUAGUAAAGUAAGCAUGUUGUUGGUUAUGUUAUUUUUAUCCUAUAAAAGUUGUUUUUAUUCUGAUAUAUCUCUAUCCCAACACUUAUUUUUCUAGUUUUCUUUGUGUUCUUCCCCUUCCAUGCUCCAUCGUCGUAUCAAUUUGGUGCUUUCAUUGAGCCUACCUCCAUGGCUCCCAAAUCAAUCAAAGAUUUAGAGGAAACCCUACAAACCAUUUUAGACAAACUAGCCCAUCUCCAAACCCAAAUCCAGCAAAACCAUGACCAUCAUGAAACACGUUAUAAUGCCUUAAACCACACCAUAGAAUCUCGUCAAAAAGAUUGGGAAUCCAAACAAGAGGUUGUCAAUCACACCCUCCAUACCAUCUUAACGUCUAUACCCCACCGUUACCUUCCCCCAAAGAAACAACCAGUUCUACUACUACCUUCUCUAUUCCACACAUAACCCCUGUCUCACCCCCACCCCUAACUUCACAAACUACAUCCUCCAUCUUUGCCACAAUAACGUCUGUUGUUCCCCCAUCCAUUACGCCACAUACCACGCUUCCUACCCUACCCCGCCCCCCAAAAAUCCAAUUAUCUUUCUUUGAUGGAUCUGAUUCGCUAGAUUGGCUUUUCCAGGCUAACCAGUUUUUCCAAUUUUACAAUAUCACUUAGGAAUCUCGCUUACACAUGGUCGCUUUCUAUAUGCGUGGAGAUGCUCUUAGUUGGUUUAAAUGGAUGUACCAAAAUCAUCAAUUAAGUGACUGGCUAUCUUUCAGUCGUGCCUUAGAGCUCCGGUUCGGUCCCUCAACCUAUGCCAACCAUCAAGCCGAGUUGUUCAAACUCCACCAAAAUAGCACAAUCACUGAGUACCAAAAAUCUUUUGAAAGAUUGUGCAAUCGAGUCUUGGGCCUCACACCUGAGAUGAUCCUCAAUUGUUUUAUUUCAGGUUUGAUCCCAGAAAUCAGAAGAGAGCUUGUUGUUCAACCUACCUCAAUCAUCUAAGCCAUGGGCCUUGCGAAGCUCUUGGAAUCUAAAAUCCAUGAUUCAAGGAAAUAUUACCGUAACCCCAUCCUUCCACUACCAUCCCCCCAUCUUUUACCACCACCACGUCCCCCUUUCCAACCCAAAUAGAAACCACUACACCCACCUCUCUACCCAUAAAAAAAUUAUCAUCCACCCAGUUACAAGAACGAAGAGCAGCCGAUUUAUGCUACAACUGUGAUGAAAAAAAUUUCCCUGGUCACAAGUGUAUCACAAAACGUUUCUUAUUGCUACUUACUGAAGAACCUACACUAGAAGCACACCCAGACACCUUCCCUGCCUUCGAUACUAUCUCGACUCUGAGGACCCUAAUCCAGUCAACCUAUCUCUCCAGGCCUUGUCUGGAACCCCUUCGGCCCACACCUUCAAACUUCAGUGAUUUAUUCAUCAUACACCCGUUACCAUUUUAAUAGACACCGGGAGUUCACACAAUAUCCUCCAACCUCGCCUAGCCCAUCACCCCUAGCCCAUCACCUCAACCUUUGCACCCUUCCUAUUAAACCUUUUUCCAUCAUGGUUGGAAACGGCGAGAAAAUUCAUUGCACACAUCUCAACCCAACAGUUCCUGUUUCUAUACAUAAUCAUUAUUUUUCCAUCUACCUCAUUCCAAUUGAAGGCGCGGAUGUAGUCCUAGGAAUGGACUGGUUACGUUGUCUUGGACCCUUACAAGCAGAUUUCUCUACACUACAACUGUCUUUCCAUCACCAAGGCACCAUCAUAACCCUAGUUGGAACCAACAAACUCUUAGACACACACGCUUCUGUCACCAAUAUUUGUCACCUCCUACAUACCAAAGCCAUAACAUCACUUCAUUUGCUCACUUUCCAACCGGAUCCCUUACCAGGCUCCAACCCUUCCCCACAAAAUAUACACCCCAAGAUUCAAAACAUCCUCCACACAUACCAUUCAGUUUUCUCACCUCCUCACGGUUUACCUCCCCACUGCCCCUACAACAAUCACAUUCCCUUGAUCCCAAACUUUACCCCCAUAAAUAUCAAACCCUACCGCUACCCCCACACCCACAAACACACUAUGACUUCUCUCAUUCAAGAAAUGUUGUAUGAGGGCAUCAUCCGCCCAAGUACCAGCCAUUUCUCCUCCACAGUCAUACUCAUAAAAAAAAAAGAUUUCUCAUUCCUACGAUUGAGGAACUCUUAGAUGAAUUAAUUGAGGCACUAGUGUUCACUAAGCUUGACCUACAAGCUGGCUAUCACCAAAUACGUGUACACCCCACAGACUGCCACAAGACAGCUUUUUGGACCUUUGAUGGUCAUUAUGAGUUUUUAGUUAUGCCAUUUGGCUUAUCUAAUGCUCCAUCUACCUUUCAAGCUGCAAUGAAUGACCUCCUCCAACCAUACCUAAGGCGUUUUCUACUAGUUUUCUUUGAUGACAUCUUAAUCUACAGUACAUCCAUGACAUACCACAUUCAACCUCUCACCAUUAUUCUCCAAUUACUUCAGACUCAUUAGUUUUUUGUUAAGGAAUCAAAAUGCAAUUUUGCAGCCCCUACAGUUGCCUAUUUGGGCCAUAUCAUUCAACAGGGAACGGUUUCCCCAGAUCCAGAAAAGAUUCAAGCUAUUCUACAGUGGUCCGAGCCCAAAUCAUUCACUAUGCUGCGUGCAUUUUUGGCCAUUACGGGGUUUUACCGGAAAUUCAUCUGCGGUUAUGCCACUCUUGCCUAUCCACUCACGAAUUUACUCAAAUUGAAAGUUUUUACAUGGAAUCAAAAUGCCAACACAACCUUUACACAGUUCAAAAAUAUCCUAACUACACCCCCCUUCUUGCACCUCCCUGACUUCAUCCUCCCUUUUAUAGUGGAAACGGACGCUUCCAAUUCCGCCAUCGGAGCCGUUUUAUCUCAAGCUAGGCACCCUAUUGCCUUCUUCAGUAAGAAGCUUUGUCUAAAGAAACAAAACAAUCCAGUUUAUGUUAAAGAGAUGCUAGCAAUUACUGAAUCUGUUAAGAAAUGGAGACACUAUCUUAUUGGAAAUCACUUUCAAAUUAUCACAAACCAACAAAGUUUAAGGGGAUUACUUACCAGUGCUUGUCAUACACCGGAACAACAAAAAUGGGCUUCACGACUUAUUGGGUACAAUUUUGAUAUCCUCUAUCGACCCGGACGUCACAACCAAGCUGCAAAUUUUCUUUCCAGGCCACCAUCCUCAGUUUUUUUAGCCAUCUGCUCCCCAGUACCAUAGAUUAUCACAAAAUUAAAGAAAUACUAUCAGACAGCAACUGGACAGCAAGAAAAAAACAAACGGAUAGGUAUUCCCAACUUAGAUUUCAAUUUUCACAAGGACUUACUGUACCAUGGUCAGAGACUUUACAUUCCAUCAACAACCAAUCUCCGCCCAUCCAUUCUUCACGAGUUUCAUGCAACCCCAUUCGCAGGGCAUCCCGGUCUCAAAGCCACUCCAACUCGUUUAACUGCCUCUUUCUAUUGGCCAGGUAUGUACAUGGACACAAAAACGUUCAUCGGAGAGUGUCUUCCCUGUCAACAGAAUAAACCCAUCAACACAAAGCCCCUAGGAUUAUUACAACCCAUACCCCCUCCAACUAGAAUUUGGGAUGAACUAACAACUGAUUUUAUCACUCACUUACCAUCAUCGUUCGACCAUACAUUUAUUUGGGUGGUUUGUGAUCGACUUUCAAAAUCAGCUCAUUUCAUAGCCCUCCCCACGUCCUUCACCGCCUCUCAACUAGCCAAUCGUUUUUCUAUGGAGAUUUGCAAGUUACAUGGUAUUCCGAAAUCCAUAAUAUCAGACCGAGACCCGCUCUUUCUCAAUAACUUUUGGAAGGAGCUAUUUCACCUACAAGGAACAAAAUUGAAAUACAGUACAUCUUAUCAUCCUCAAACCGACGGUCAGACCGAGGUUAUCAAAAGAAGUUUAGAAAUAUACCUCCGCUGUUUCACCAGUGACAAUCUGCGAAGUUGGUACAAAUACUUGCACCUAGCCGAGUUUUGGUACAAUUCUUCUUAUCAUUCGGCCAUAAAAACAACCCCGUUCCAAGCACUCUAUGGAAGACCACCACCAUCCAUCCCGGAUUAUAUAUCGAGCACCACAUCGGAACCCAAUCUGGACACCACCCUUCAAGAGCGAACGCAAAUUCUGCACCAGUUGAAGACCAAUUUCGCCUUGUCGCAACAACGCAUGGCCAAAACAGAAAACGUCGGACGACGUCAUCACGUGUUUACCGACGGCGAUUGAGUACUGCUCCGUCGACAGGCUUACCGCCAAACAUCCCUCACUGGUUUCCCUCACCACUAGCUUACCCGAAAAUUUUAUGGCCCAUACCCGAUUACAAAACUCUCUCCCACUGGAUUCCAAGAUUCACCCAGUAUUUCACAUUUCUCUCUUCAAACCUUAUCAUGGACCAAAACCCCCUCUACCCCACCACCCUCACAGCCCGGAAAGAAGCCCAUCCCUUUCUCACUCGUCCAACACAAACCACAAAAUAACUCUAAGUGAAACUUCACUUCCACCCAUAAACUCACCUAACAGUGCAUUGAACUCACCUACACCAGCCACGUGUCCUCCAUCAAUGACCCUCAUUAAACCCCUUCACCAACCACCCACCUCUGCUUCAC
rnacentral:lncRNA from 1 species